rnacentral:rRNA from 1 species
GACGAACGCUGGCGGCGUGCCUAAUACAUGCAAGUCGAACGCAGUGGGGACGGGUGAGUAACACGUGGGUAACCUCCCAUCAGAGGGGAUAACACUUGGAAACAGGUGCUAAACCGAUACUGAUGGAUGGACCCGCGGUGCAUUAGCUAGUUGGUGAGGUAACGGCUCACCAAGGCCACGAUGCAUAGCCGACCUUGGAGCGUGAUCGGCCUAACGUUGGAUGAGACACGGACCGUACUCCUACGGGAGGCAGCGAGAGGUAAUCUUCGGCAAUGGACGAAAGUCUGACCGAGCAACGCCGCGUGAGUUAAGAAGGUUUUCGGAUCGUAAAUCUCUGUUUGUAGCGAAGCGGUAUUUAACCAGAAAGCCACGGCUAACUACGUGCCAGCUGCCGCGGUGAUUC